rnacentral:rRNA from 1 species
UGGGGAAUCUUGCACAAUGGGGGCAACCCUGAUGCAGCGACGCCGCGUGAGCGAUGAAGCCCUUCGGGGCAUAAAGCUCUUUCGACCGGAACGAUAAUGACGGUACCGGGAGAAGAAGCUGCGGCUAACUACGUGCCAGCAGCCGCGGUAAUACGUAGGCAGCAAGCGUUGUUCGGAGUUACUGGGCGUAAAGAGUGCGUAGGCGGUUUUCUAAGUUCGGUGUGAAAUCUCCCGGCUUAACGGGGAGGGUGCGCCGAAGACUGGGAAGCUGGAGUGUGGGAAAGGCAGGCGGAAUUCCUGGUGUAGCGGUGAAAUGCGUAGAUAUCAGGAGGAACACCGGCGGUGUAGACGGCUUGCUAGACCAUAACUGACGCUGAGGCACGAAAGCGUGGGUAGCAAACA